UGUGGAGACCCGUGGCCCGCUGGCAAACACGGCUGAAACUGGAUGUUGCAUCUGAGUCCUUGUGGUGAUGCUGGCAAAGGGAGAGCGAAAGCACAGCCAGCUGUGCAAAGGAGCGUGUGGAACCUGACAGCCAGGAACCGGUGGUUUGGGCUCAGAUUGGUCUGAAGUGCUGUGGAGAUGUCAGCCAAGGCAUGAUCUUUGUUAUUUAUUGACAUGGCUGCGAAUCUCCCUCAAGCUCUCCUCAUGUCAGUUAUCGAUGACCUCCUUUUCUCUGGCCUCAACAAAUAAAGCAUUCACUGCCAUUCAGAAAGCUCUGCAAUGCCAUUUUCUUAGUUCUUCAGUUUAAAACGUGUUAGUUCUCCACACCCUUCCAAAAAGAGUCAUCUUUAUCACACACAAAACUGUUACUCUCCAAUUGCAGGCCCAUUCACUUGCUGAUCUGGCCCUGCUUACCUUUGGUUUCACUCUGAAAGGUUAUCUCCUAUUUCCUGCCAGCAGAUAAAACCGAAUCCCGCUACCUCCCUCUCAAAUAAAAGCCUUCCUGCUUUACCCCAGUUGCUGCUGAGGAUGAGCUCCUGUUAAACACCUGUAGAGAAGAGGGGAACUAGAAAAAUCAACACAAUGGAAAUAACAAGGAAAUAGAGAGGAUAAAGAAGAAAGGGAAGGUGGCAACGAGGACAGGUAUGGCACCGACUGGUAUGAACAAAGAGCAGGGUAGAGCUUGGAGUAAACAGCAAGUUUGACAGAACAGCAGAAUUAGGCCCAAGAUCAGAAAGUCCAUAUGCAAGUAAAAGUCAAUUGAAUUUCAGUCAACACCAUGAAUAAUCAUAGUAAUUACAGGACUAAAAAAAUGGCAAACAAUGAUAGCUUUUUUCUCAAUAGUAAAUGUGUCAUGUAAGGAGAAUUACCACCCAAGGAGGUAGGUGUGUAUUUUUCUUUGAUUAACCACAAGCUUUGGAGUGGGGAGUGAAAUGCAAGACCAAAACCCAAAGGAAUUCUUUAAAAUUACCUGCGGCAUGAUAGGGCCUGGUAAGACAAAUAAUAAUCAUAACAACCCGUAUUCUCAGGUUUCUAGGUCUUCGAUGUCUAGAUAUGACAGAGAGUGACUUUGUUAGUCAUGCCGGUCACAGUUUUCAAACCAGGCUGCUUAGCCUGCCUACAGCCACGUUGUUAUCCUGCUGUUGGAUACAGGUCAUAUAAGGCAUCAAACAGCUAUUAAAAUGGCCCAACUGGGCAUCAUGGAGAGCCUUGUCACUUGGGAACUGCUGUUUGGAACUGCCAAGAUGAGAGAUUAAGAUAGACUGGACCAGGAGAAAUGGGCAGUUGGGAAAGAGUACAGCUCUAAAGAAAGCACUGUUAAACAGGAAAAGGAUAACAUGGGCCAAAGUAUGAGUGCAAGGGCUAUGAAAGGGCAAGAUGAGACAGGUUCUACAAAGCAAGAAAGAGAACUUGGGGGGGGGGGGGGGGGGCAAAGAGAAAAAAGAAAUAGAAGGGAAGUGUAUGGAGAAGUCCAAAUAAAAUUAAAAUCAUUCAAGUCCUUAGUAAGGCUUGAUGAAAUACAAAAGAGCUGUUUGGGGCAGUGAAUCUUGCGAGGAAAUUGAGUCAUAAAUUUCAAAAGCACUCAGGUUAUAUCCAUCAGCUGAGCAUAAACUCACAUAACAGACUCAUGUAAACUGCUGCCAAUUUCAGUUUACUCUCAGGUGUUGGUCUAUAAAGUUGUAGCUUCAGCACAGAGGUACUUCUGCAGUCAGUUUGCCAUAGCUGCAGACACAAAAACUGGCAGAAAGAUGACAGAGAGGGCACAAGACUGGUGGUAUUUACCACUUCAGCCACCUCAGUUACAGCAACCUGUAAACAUCGGUUUGGCCUUAGCCCCCUGUAGUGACUUAAGCAAAUGCAUAGUAUUUUCCAAUUGAAGCAGGCUAACGGUGCUGUAUAAAUGAAUGCUGUCAGCUGACAGACAGCAGCUUGGUUGGUUUUAAUCACAAACCAUACCUUUUUGGUGCAGGCCUGAUAGGUUUACAAUCUAAGCCAAAGCCGCCUAAAAAAAAACCAAAAGAAGUUUGGUUACUGGACGUGGGGUCAGAUCCUGUGAGACAGUAUAAAUUAGGGUGAAGAAUAUCUUAAGGAAAAUUUCUUUGCUUCUAACAUUUUAUUUAAAGUUCAACACAAGAGAAAAAUAAUUUUGAAAAUAUAUUCUUAUAAAGAUUAGUAUCUUCAUCAGAUAACAUAUACAACCUGUCUGGCACACAGUUCAAUUUUCAAGUGUACUGGUUAGCUACUCUUUCUAUUGUCUUUACUAGAUCUGACUUCAUGUAACAUUGUUUCACAAACUAUAGCCUAAAGAGCUGGUUGUAGAGCUUGUCCACAGUGUGCCUUACCCUGUCAGCAGGCUCAGCUGAGAUAAACAUCUCAAAAUAUGAGGAAGUUCAGCUUCAGUUAUUGAAGCUUGGGCUGAAAGUGUGGCAGACUACUUAUAAAUUAAUACGCUUCACAGACAGAGCACCUGGCUUACACAUCACACAUAUUACACUAUGCUUGUGUAUUCUUGAAAUUUCUGGUGUUGGAUGCUUAUUUUUAGGUUGUUGAAAUACUUUUCCAUUUGUGAGCAGCAAAAAUGGGGGUAGGGGAAAGAUUUACAAAAGCAAAUAACCACUAUAGCUUAGGAUUUUAAAUCAAGACAUUUUAAGAAAGUCAGCUGCAAUUCCAGUAACAAAUGCAAUGCAGUCUUGCUGCACAUAUGCAUGGGUAUCAAAGCAGAAAGCUCAGUUUGGACCAGUUAAAGUGAUGCUUGUGGCAAGUACCACAAGCACCAAAGCAAAAAGAGUGGCUUGAAACAGUUGGCUGUAGUGAGCGGCUAUUUUUCAUACAAUCUCCCAACAUUAAGCACAAUUUCCUUUUUUUCCCCCCUCUUCCCCUUAAUAGGUCUGGCUUAUAGCCUGAAGGGAUGGAAUGUGUUUAUUGACAUAAAUAAAGAAAAAAGCAGAUCUGAACAUACCUGAACAUACCAUGUUGAUUUUAUUUUGUGUUCAUCUCUAAUGCUCUGUUGUGCUGCUACAAAGCUUACAAAACCAGACCUAAUGCCCUCUGCUACCAAGUUCCUACUUCAGAAAAUGAAUCCUGUAGAGGAUAAGAAGUGCUCUAAAGGCAGUUCACUGAAGGACAGCCUGGAUCCUAGACCAGAUUACUUAACAACAAAACGCAUCACCGCUAUUUAUUUUUACUCACAAGUAGCUACGCUACUCUUUCUGGUUUGG